rnacentral:rRNA from 1 species
AACGAACGCUGGCGGCAGGCUUAACACAUGCAAGUCGAGCGCCCCGCAAGGGGAGCGGCAGACGGGUGAGUAACGCGUGGGAAUCUACCCAUCCCUACGGAAUAGCUCCGGGAAACUGGGAUUAAUACCGUAUACGCCCUACGGGGGAAAGAUUUAUCGGGGAUGGACGAGCCCGCGUUUGAUUAGCUAGUUGGUGGGGUAAAGGCCUACCAAGGCGACGAUCCGUAGCUGGUCUGAGAGGAUGAACAGCCACAUUGGGACUGAGACACGGCCCAAACUCCUACGGGAGGCAGCAGUGGGGAAUAUUGGACAAUGGGGGCAACCCUGAUCCAGCCAUGCCGCGUGAGUGAUGAAGGCCUUAGGGUUGUAAAGCUCUUUCACCGGGGAAGAUAAUGACGGUACCCGGAGAAGAAGCCCCGGCUAACUUCGUGCCAGCCGCCGCCGUAAUAC